UAGCUACUCCUACAUGGUGACGUGUGUGGAACAGGUGUACAAUUAAAGACAUAAAAUACAAAAUUUAAAAACAAAUACAAAAAGCAUUAGGCUGCAGCAAUGCAACAUGGAUCUUUAUAAAAAUACACUAUAAUCCAGUCUUUCCUUCAGUCCCAGGUUCCCCGCUGCAUCCAAUCUAAUUAUCCAUUUGGCAUCUGUUUGAAGCAACAUUUUCUUUCUAUUUUUAUUUUCUUUGCAGUGGACAACCUCCAGACCCUGAAAGACUAGAGUGUCAUGAUUGCCUUUAUGAACCAGAUUCAUAUGUUCAAUGAAUCUAGGGACUCCUUUCCUGGAUCUAAUAGAGUAAACGUGUUCCCUGAAGCGAGUGUUCAUCGCUCGCUUUGUGCUUCCUACAUAGAAUCUCCCACAGAGGAUGAGAAUGCGCUGACAUAGUGAGGAGACGUCUGGGCGUCACAUUCUACAGACAGAAGUUUUAGCUGGACCAGGCGGUGAUUGAUGCCCGGUGAGAGGGUGAAAGGGACCUAUACCCCCGUCAGCUGCAGGAAAGGAACAAAGAGACAGGUGAUUGAUGCCCGGUGAGAGGGUGAAAGGGACCUAUACCCCCGUCAGCUGCAGGAAAGGAACAAAGAGACAGGUGAUUGAUGCCCGGUGAGAAGGUGAAAGUGACCUAUACCCCCGUCAGCUGCAGGAAAGGAACAAAGAGACAGGUAAUUAAU